UACGUAGGGGGCAAGCGUUGUCCGGAAUCAUUGGGCGUAAAGAGCGCGUAGGCGGCCCAGUAAGUCCGCUCUGAAAGUCAGGGGCUCAACCCCUGAAUGCGGGUGGAUACUGCUGGGCUAGAGUACGGAAGAGGCGAGUGGAAUUCCUGGUGUAGCGGUGAAAUGCGCAGAUAUCAGGAGGAACACCUAUUGCGAAGGCAGCUCGCUGGGACGUAACUGACGCUGAGACGCGAAAGCGUGGGGAGUAAACAGG
rnacentral:rRNA from 1 species